UGUCUUCCUUUUUUCUUUUAUAUAUUAUAAAUUGCACGUCAUUUUGGCACUAGGUGACAACACAUGGUGACUAACUCAAAAUUUUAAUAAUGAAAAGGAAAUUGAAAUGAUGGAGGAGGGUGGUAGACUUUAGUGAUCCAUCGUCCUUAUCCCAUACUGUGGUAGAUAUAAUCAACUACAAAAUUAAAACAAUAAAAAAGUAAUUAAAUAAAAAUAAAAAGAUGCAGAAAGAAAGCUACAAAUAUGGCCCCCCACUCCCUCCCUAUGUUCUGGCUUUUAUCAUGUUGGACGAAAAGAUUCCAUCUUCCCAAUGAAGGCUCCAUGGUAUCUAUCUCUCAUAAUAAUUUCUUUUCUUUUCUUUUCUUUUUUUCUGCGCAUUCUGUAGAGGAAGCCGCUCUCUGCAACUUUAUGAUAGAGUCCUGCAGAUGAUUUUCUAAUUAAGUUCAAUACAUUAUCCAAGGUGUUUUCUUCUUUUCCUUUAACUUUUCCCAACUAUCUGGAACCCUGCCAUGCCAAUGUGCCAUGCCAUUUAUACUAAUUUUGCUUCAACAUUUGAUCAUGUAUUGCUGCUAUAGCCCCCACGUCCUUGGCUUUUUCAAGAGCUACUUAGAUCUCAAAUCUUGUUUAUUCUAUCUGCUGUCCUCCCCCUAGACCUAGUCACCUAGAGCUAGACAUACAUGUGCCUGCAAAAGAAGGGGUCACUACUUUCCAGUACAUUAUCUUCUGAUCGAUUCUCUCCCUAGCUAGUCUUCAUUAUAUAUUGUGAAGGAAGGUUUUAUCAUGUUCCUUCCUUGCUAUAAAAUAAAAGCUUCAGUUCUAUAAAAAGCUGCUGCUGCGCAUAAUGUGAAUAUAGAAGAAGAAGAUUUUAGAUAAACUUGAGGUUUAGAGAGCUAAGCGGCUAGGCCCUAUCAUUUCAUUCAUGACCCAAAAUCUUUAAGCAGUGUGUCAUAUUAUAUAUAUGCAUAUAUAUUAUGGCUUCUUGUUGUUUGUUAACCCGGAAGACUCAUAGAAAGAGCUAUAUAUAUGAUAUGAGAGGUUGUUUCAAACGUUGACAUUCAUCGCCAGCUAAUUAAGAAUGCUAAUUGCCAGUUAACUGGGAAGAGGAGUACAUGUGCUCUAAUUAAUUUGAGGUUUAUAUAUACAUAUAGAGGUAUGUUCCCUAACGUGCAAUUAUUCUUUGAAAAGAAUCAGACACGCGGUGACGCGGUAGCUUUUUCAUCCAACCACGUUCCAUUAUCUACCCUGCUCAUGUACGUGAAAAAUACUAAACUAACUUGGAAGAUAAAAGAUUCCAGUUUUGAUGAGUAUAAAGUAUUUGUAUGCCAAGCCAACUUAGUAUAGCACUUCUGCGGUGCGGUGUCAAGUCAACGAUUCAUUGAUCAAUGAGAAACAGAGAAAAACCAGAAAACCAGUUGUGUUAUACAACGACGAUCGAUGUCUCUUACAGUGAAGGAGCACACUAGCAAAUGCAUAAUAAAGAUCAAAACAAGGAAAAAAACAACGGAAAUACAAAGUUACAUCUCUUUCGCUGCUCAACCUGGAGGAGCUAACAUUCCACAGUUUAUUUCAUUUUCCUCCAUUAAUUUCUUGGCAAACAAGCCAAGAAUCAGGAGAAAAGGAGUUGGCAUUCGUCCAAACAGAAAUUAAAAGGAAAAGAAAAAAAGGAACGGAGAAGGUCAAGGAAGAUUAAGGGUUGAUAUAUAAAUAUAUAUAUAUCAUAUGUAUAAGCCAAGAAUCAGACUUGCCUGAGGUUACAUUUCCUCCUUAAGUUCAUCACCUUCUUUACUGCUGUAAAUCAGGCCAUGACUGAAAGUUGAGGACCCUAUAUCCUCCUCCUGGUGAGCUUUUGGACAUGAAAGAAUGAUCUUCUUCUCCUCUUGACAUUCUUCUCAUCCACUUCUGAAGCACCAUCAUCGUCGUCAUCGAUCCUUCCUUGGACAAGUUCAGUGAAACCCUAAUUAUUAUUUCUCUCGCAGAAAAAUCAACUUAAGUUGUAGACGAAGAAGAAAGAGGCAAUAGAAUUUUGGGGUGGUUGGGUAUAUAUAGAUGUCUUAAUAUAUAAGUAGCAAUCGGUUGUGGGAGCGGAUGAAACAAAGGUGAAAGGGAAAUGAAUUAGGCCACGUACGUACAUGGGAGGCCCUACUUCACAUGUCUCUAUGUGUUUUACUGAUAAAAGGAAUAUCCCAUUAAGUAAAAAGGACCCCCCCUCUUAUAAUUUAAAGUUGGAAUCUGAGGUGAGCUAUCCAAUUUGGAUCCACAUAUAUACCUAAAAAUAAAAACAAAAACAAUAUUCGUUUAUUUUGUGCUCAUAGUUGGCCAAAACUUACCCAUUGGAUUGGAC
rnacentral:lncRNA from 1 species